GACGAACGCUGGCGGCGUGCUUAACACAUGCAAGUCGAACGUGAUUUUUGUGGAAAUUCUUUCGGGAAUGGAAAUGAAAUGAAAGUGGCGAACGGGUGAGUAACACGUGAGCAACCUACCUUACACAGGGGGAUAGCCGUUGGAAACGACGAUUAAUACCGCAUGAGACCACGGAAUCGCAUGAUAUAGGGGUCAAAGAUUUAUCGGUGUAAGAAGGGCUCGCGUCUGAUUAGCUAGUUGGAAGGGUAAAGGCCUACCAAGGCGACGAUCAGUAGCCGGUCUGAGAGGAUGAACGGCCACAUUGGAACUGAGACACGGUCCAAACUCCUACGGGAGGCAGCAGUGGGGAAUAUUGCACAAUGGGGGGAACCCUGAUGCAGCGACGCCGCGUGAGCGAAGAAGGUUUUCGAAUCGUAAAGCUCUGUCCUAUGAGAAGAUAAUGACGGUAUCAUAGGAGGAAGCCCCGGCUAAAUACGUG
rnacentral:rRNA from 1 species